rfam:Dipodomys ordii contig_50559, whole genome shotgun sequence.
GGGAAGGUGGCUCAGUGGUAGAGUGCUUGCCUUGCAUGCAUGAGGCCCUGGGUUCAAUUCCUCAGAUCCA